AUGUACAAGUGUUUUAAGCACCAUAAAACUUCACUUUCCACUUAUACCCUUAUACUAAAAAAGUGGAUACAUUAGGGUUCAUUCAUUUCAAAACAUUUCAAAAUCACCCGCUUCCUGCUCCUCUCUCUCUGGCGAAUCCAGAUCUGGAUCUAGGGUUUUUCUCCAAGAAGAUCUAGCCGAUAAAGAAAUCUCAAUGCAUUCUCCAUUCAGAUCUAGCCUUUCACCGGAGAGUCGGAGACCCCAAUUGCAGCCACUACCGUCAUUCGCAACCACCACUACGACUCGCAACAACCACCACCAUGGAUGUUUGGCUACCAGAUAGUGAUUGUUGAUGGCUGCAGACAUGGUGGCGAAACGCGGUUUGCUGGAGCUCCAACAUGAAACGAUCUUGAUCUUUUACAGGAUAUUCGUGGAAAUGAGGUGCCUUUGAGCUUUUACAAGAGGAAGGCUGUGUUAAUUGGUAAUGUUGCGUCACUCCAAAUGAACGACAUCACAUAGAAACCUGAGGAGUUCAUACAGGGUUUUGGCAAAGUUCUGGCAAGCUGCGGUGACCUGUUCUCAUCUUGCUUGUGACAUCUUUGUGUAGAUCGGCCACCCUAAGACCUCUAUAGCUGUUGAAGUAUGGAGGAACCAGCCAUUGCCGCUGAUAACGGACAAGAAGCCGCCCUUCCGUAUAUUUCAUGACAACUUCAUCAGUGCUUAUGUACCCGGGCGGCUUUCAAAGGUAUCCUUGGAGAAAUUUUGUGAAAGUUAGUCGUGCUCUUAGACAUUGCUCUAAUACAGGUAUACAUGUGAAAAUGGUCAAUGUGGGUCUUAGUUAUCGCUACCUGGUCAUUAAAUGACGAUAUAAAAGUCAGCCAUAACAUUUUUUUAAACUGCAAAUUUCAUUUUUUUACCUCUUGUGGGGGUCUUAAGUUCAACCAUUUUACCUAUGAAUGGGUCACUGUGGGUCGUCUUUUUAUCUCAAACCAUUUAAAUAGGUUAAACACAAUUAAUUUAAAUGGAGAAUGAGUUUUCAAAGCCUUUCAAAGUCUCUUAUUUACGCGUACAAAUUUCCCAAAAGGAGUUAUUCAAGAGUGUGUGCCGUUUGGAACAUGGGGAUGGAAAGAGUGUGUGCCGUUUGGAACAGUUGUUGGAGACCCAUACACAGAUCAAGAUCUAGAAACAAACUUACUUGAUCAAGGUAAUAUUAAUCAUUGCAGUCAUUGGCAUAGGAAUAUGGUAACUGUUGAGUUCACUAACUAUGAUAUUAAGUGAGCCCUUACUCAGAGGGAUCAAGAUCUACGGAUGUAGUUGCUACGCAUGAAAGUACGAAAAGGCGACGUGUGCCAGUAGGCCCCACAUACAAGGCAACAUAGAAGUAACAAGUUUGGCAUUAAUGGAGGCUCAUCAACAUUUUAGUUAUAGAAAUGGCUUUCUCGAU
rnacentral:lncRNA from 1 species